rnacentral:tRNA from 1 species
GCAAUGGUAGUUCAGGGGUAGAAUUCUCGUCUUCCACGCAGGAGACCCGGGUUCGAUUUCUGACCAAGGCA